UGCAUAUCGAAUCAUAACUUGUCAUUGUCCGGGCACGCAGCGCAGCCUUGUGUUGGCAGCCAUGGCCGCUGGCUAAUUCCAGUACUUCAUUACCUCAGGUAGGACGCAGGCACUUGGCCACCGCUGCCCCUGCCUCUGUCUUCUCCCCACCGCCACCUGUUGGCAGGCGGCAGCCAAUCUGUCUCUGGAUUCGUUAUUCUGACAUCCAUGGAGGGAAUCAUGGUUUGUUUCCUAGCGUUAACUUGGUGUUGUUCAGAGCUUAAUUCACGAGUCAGUGAAGUGUUCGUGGAUUUGUUCAUGACUGGACUCUUGGGGUGUUCUUGAAUGUGAAUGUAUGUGUUUACCAGCAGCAGGUCAGUGGACAUCAUGGGUUAUUUUCACCCCUCGCUAUGUGAGUAACACUGAUGUGAACGGUACAGAAGUGCUUGCUUGUGUCCCUGCUGUGGAUAGAGAAGGAAGUAAGAAGCACAAAAAGGUGCUAGUAGGUCCUAGUAUCCUCCGAAGCCCUGCUUCAGUGACCUAACUUCAGUAGGUCCCACCUAGGAUUCUUUUUAGCUUUGUUUUUUCCUAAGGUACUUUAAAAAAAAGAAGAAGCAUGUAUUUUAUGUAUAUGAGUGCUUUUUCUACUUGUAGAGUCUGCACAUCAGGAGAGGGCAUCAGUUCACAAGUUGUGAGUCACCACGAAUGCUAGGAAUUAAACUCAGGACCUGGGGAAAGCUAGCCCUGAACUCAGAAAUCCUGGAGCCUUUGCCCCUGAGUGUUGGGAUUAAAUAAAGGUAUGCACCACCACGUGGGCCAGGCUU
rnacentral:lncRNA from 1 species